AUUGAACGCUGGCGGCGUGCCUUACACAUGCAAGUCGAACGGCAGCAUGGGUGCUUGCACCUGAUGGCGAGUGGCGAACGGGUGAGUAAUGCAUCGGAACGUACCCGGAAGUGGGGGAUAACGUAGCGAAAGUUACGCUAAUACCGCAUAUUCUGUGAGCAGGAAAGCGGGGGAUCGCAAGACCUCGCGCUUCCGGAGCGGCCGAUGUCGGAUUAGCUAGUUGGCGGGGUAAAGGCCCACCAAGGCAACGAUCCGUAGCGGGUCUGAGAGGAUGAUCCGCCACACUGGGACUGAGACACGGCCCAGACUCCUACGGGAGGCAGCAGUGGGGAAUUUUGGACAAUGGGGGCAACCCUGAUCCAGCCAUGCCGCGUGAGUGAAGAAGGCCUUCGGGUUGUAAAGCUCUUUCGGCCGGGAAGAAAUCGCACAGGUUAAUACCUUGUGUGGAUGACGGUACCGGAAUAAGAAGCACCGGCUAACUACGUGCCAGCCGCCGCUGUAAUAC
rnacentral:rRNA from 1 species